GAAGUUAAAUUCAAAAUCGGCAGGGUAUACCCUUUUUUCGAAACGAAAUACGAAGAAAAGUUACCAUAGAACUCUUUGGAUCAUCUAUCAGUUGCUCAACGAAUUACUUCUUUGGAAUGUUAAAAAAAAAGAUUACUUGGUUUUCUUUUUUUUUUAUUAAUUUAAUUAAUAUAUGCCUAUUCCAUUCCAUUUUUCCUUCAUUUCUGAUUAUUUUAAUAGGAAUCUCGGUAUCCACCAAAA
rnacentral:lncRNA from 1 species